rnacentral:tRNA from 1 species
UAAAGAUAUAGCAUAAUUUUAAUGCAUUUCACUUACACUGAAAAUAUGCUUAGUUGUGAGCUGUCUUUAA